rnacentral:rRNA from 1 species
UACAGAGGGUGCGAGCGUUAAUCGGAAUUACUGGGUGUAAAGGGCGCGUAGGCGGUCGGAUGUGAGUGAUGUGAAAGCCCCGGGCUUAACCUGGGAAGUGCAUUGCAGACUAUCGGACUAGAGUAUAUGAGAGGGUGGCGGAAUUUCCGGUGUAGCGGUGAAAUGCGUAGAGAUCGGAAGGAACGUCAAUGGCGAAGGCAGCCACCUGGCAUGAUACUGACGCUGAGGCGCGAAAGCGUGGGGAGCGAACAGG